GGUGAUUUAGUACUAUAGGUACUCUCUCUAGAAGUGGCCGUUAGAUAUUCAUCUGUCCACAGUUAGACAAACUGUCUAUAAAUGGAGGUGAUUUAGUACUAUAGGUACUCUCUCUAGAAGUGGCCGUUAGAUAUUCAUCUGUCCACAGUUAGACAAACUGUCUAUAAAUGGAGGUGAUUUAGUACUAUAGGUACUCUCUCUAGAAGUGGCCGUUAGAUAUUCAUCUGUCCACAGUUAGACAAACUGUCUAUAAAUGGAGGUGAUUUAGUACUAUAGGUACUCUCUCUAGAAGUGGCCGUUAGAUAUUCAUCUGUCCACAGUUAGACAAACUGUCUAUAAAUGGAGGUGAUUUAGUACUAUAGGUACUCUCUCCAGAAGUGGCCGUUAGAUAUUCAUCUGUCCACAGUUAGACAAACUGUCAAUAAAUGGAGGUGAUCUAGUACUAUAGGUACUCUCUCUA